AUUGAACGCUGGCGGCAGGCCUAACACAUGCAAGUCGAGCGGCAGCGGGAAAGUAGCUUGCUACUUUUGCCGGCGAGCGGCGGACGGGUGAGUAAUGCCUGGGAAAUUGCCCAGUCGAGGGGGAUAACAGUUGGAAACGACUGCUAAUACCGCAUACGCCCUACGGGGGAAAGCAGGGGACCUUCGGGCCUUGCGGGAUUGGAUAUGCCCAGGUGGGAUUAGCUAAUUGGUGAGGUAAUGGCUCACCAAGGCGACGAUCCCUAGCUGGGAUGGGAGGAUGAUCAGCCACACUGGAACUGAACCACGGUCCAGACUCCUACGGGAGGCAGCAGUGGGGAAUAUUGCACAAUGGGGGAAACCCUGAUGCAGCCAUGCCGCGUGUGUGAAGAAGGCCUUCGGGUUGUAAAGCACUUUCAGCGAGGAGGAAAGGUUGAUGCCUAAUACGUAUCAACUGUGACGUUACUCGCAGAAGAAGCACCGGCUAACUCCGUGCCAGCCGCCGCCGUAA
rnacentral:rRNA from 1 species